UACGGAAGGGGUUAGCGUUGUUCGGAAUUACUGGGCGUAAAGCGCGCGUAGGCGGAUUAGAAAGUUGGGGGUGAAAUCCCGGGGCUCAACCCCGGAACUGCCUCCAAAACUACUAGUCUAGAGUUCGAGAGAGGUGAGUGGAAUUCCGAGUGUAGAGGUGAAAUUCGUAGAUAUUCGGAGGAACACCAGUGGCGAAGGCGGCUCACUGGCUCGAUACUGACGCUGAGGUGCGAAAGUGUGGGGAGCAAACAGG
rnacentral:rRNA from 1 species